GGGCCUAUAGUUUCAAUAGUAAAACAUCGCACUCCAAACGCGGAGUUCCUGGUGCAAGUCCAGGUGGGCCCG
rnacentral:tRNA from 1 species